rnacentral:rRNA from 1 species
UACGUAGGUGACCAGCGUUAUCCGGAUUUACUGGGCGUAAAGAGCGCGCAGGCGGUCGUUCAAGUCGAGUGUGAAAGCCCCCGGCUCAACUGGGGAGGGUCAUUCGAUACUGAUCGACUUGAAGGCAGGAGAGGGAAGCGGAAUUCCCGGUGUAGUGGUGAAAUGCGUAGAUAUCGGGAGGAACACCAGUGGCGAAGGCGGCUUCCUGGCCUGUUCUUGACGCUGAGGCGCGAAAGCUAGGGGAGCAAACGGG